ACACCAAUACAUAAUUUUAGUCUUUUCCAAACCUAUUACCUGCAAAAAUGGUUUAUCCUGUCUGAUUUUUUAGGGUGUCAGUCUCCAUGAGCAUGGCUUCUACACCUACUGCUUCAUCUUCUAUCUGCAACAGAAUCUAUAUCCUCUCCUUCACCAACUCUUCCAUUUCACACACCCUUAACUUCCCACAAAGAACCAAAUCCCCAAAACCCCUCAACCUCAAGCCCAAACUUUUCACUAUUUCUCAUCUCUCACCCUACCAUCUUCACCUGCCUUCAGUUUCCUCCCACAAUUUCCAAGUCACUCAAGAAGACCCUGAACCUGAAACCUUCCAAAAAUCAGAGCCAAAGGUGUCACACUCUAACCAAUCAGAGAGACUCUUUGUGGGAAACUUACCUUAUUCAUUGCCUUCUUCCCAAUUGGCUGAGCUCUUUGGUGAAGCUGGCAAUGUUGUCUCUGUGGAGAUUGUGUAUGAUGACAUUACGGAUAGAAGCAGAGGGUUUGCGUUUGUUACAAUGGGGAGCGUUGAGGAUGCUGAACAAGCAAUUCGAAUGUUUGAUGGCUCUCAAGUUGGAGGUAGGAUUAUUAAGGUAAACGUCCCUAAAGUUCCCAAAGGAGAUGAAGGGCUAGUAAUGGGUUCAAAAUACAAAGGCUAUGUAGACAGCCCUCACAAGAUCUAUGCUGGAAACCUUGAUUGGGGUUUGACUUCCCAGGGUCUUAGAGAUGCCUUUGCUGAGCAGCCAGGCUUACUGAGUGCCAAGGUCAUCUAUGAAAGGAACAGAGGAAAAUCUCGGGGAUAUGGAUUUGUCACUUUUGAAACUGCCAAGGAUGUAGAGGCUGCUUUGAAUGAUAUGAAUGGAGAUUCAAGGCAGACCCUUAAUACUGAAUUCGGCUGCAGACAAAAAGCCAUCAUCUCCUCUGGUAAUUGAUGAAAAUACAGGAAAUAAUGUUCAUAGCUUGGAAAUGCUGCUUAGUGUCAGCACAUGAGUGUUUUAAAAAUCGGCUCGGACCAGCCGGGUCGACCCAAGUCUCGAUGACUCGGUGGCUUCCUCGGUCCAAGCGGUCAUUUGAACCGGUUCUGUAGUCAACUUGGUUUGGACCGGUUGACCCGAUUGAGACUCAGUGACCCGGUUGACCCUUUUUUCUUUAUUACUGAGAACUCUUGAAUUAAAUCAUAUUCAUAUUUUGUAAUAAAUAUGAUUAAAAAGUAAGGAAAAAACAAGAAGAUAUUUUUGAUUAGUGCAGUUCGUUUAUAUAAUUUAGUU